AUUUAAUCCAUUUUAGAAUAAGGCUGUGUAAUGUAACAAAAUGUGGAAAAAGUGAAGAGGUCUGAGGCAGAGAAUGGAGGAGAGGACAGGCCCAGGACGCUUGCCAGUGGGAGGUCUGUUUGUGGGCACUCAGCUGUCAUUGGCUCCUGAGUCAGACCUUUUAGAGAGCAGGAAGAAACCGCCGCUCAUGAGCUCUAAAGCUGUGGAACAGCUUUCCCCAAUGCCUUCCCCAAUGCAAACUCUAAGUGACGGUGAAACUAAGUUUGAAGGAAGAAAUAAACCCCAGUCCAACCAGAGUUUCCCAGCAUCCCAGGCACGCUCCUGGGCGCGGUGAAGAACAGAGAGAUGGCGGUGCAUGCGGACAUCCACCUCUAGACCCCGAACCAAAAGCACCGAGCCGCUCACCAGAAUUGCAUGAUGCCCCUACGCAUGAGCUCGACGCAAUGGAAACAGACUCUUUUGAUAACGAUCCAUUCUCCGGGCCAGGCACCGAUCAUUUUCCAGAGGGAAUGGAAGCUGAAGAAUGGAACAUAAUGGCUGUCCAAGCCUGCCCAGGGGGGUUGAAUUCAAAGUGAAAUCGCCACAGCCGACAUCAUUGAACACCCAUCUACUUGUCUUUUUGUUCCUAGAAAGUGUCCUUGUCUUGUCCUCGUGCUACAUGGACUUACAUGGACUUCAAGAUUGUGGUUCUUGAGAAGCAGUUGAACUUGUUGGGUUCCGUAGGGGACUAUGCACGCACCAAGUAAGAGCUGCCACUAGAGCUUUGUCUGAGAUAACAGUGCAGCAAUGGGAAUUCGUUAACAUAUUAACAACUGCAAUCCAAUAAGAAUCCAGCCAUAUUAGCCCUGUUAUACAGUAGAUGGCGUUAUAAUGCAAGAUACAUCUGGAAUGUAUCUUAACAAACAGUUGGAAAACCCAAAGAAUGACUUGGUCAGUCACGAAUC